rnacentral:rRNA from 1 species
GUCGAGCGCCGUAGCAAUACGGAGCGGCAGACGGGUGAGUAACACGUGGGAACGUACCUUUUGGUUCGGAACAACCCAGGGAAACUUGGGCUAAUACCGGAUAAGUCCGUAAGGAGAAAGAUUUAUCGCCAAAAGAUCGGCCCGCGUCUGAUUAGCUAGUUGGUGAGGUAACGGCUCACCAAGGCGACGAUCAGUAGCUGGUCCGAGAGGAUGAUCAGCCACAUUGGGACUGAGACACGGCCCAAACUCCUACGGGAGGCAGCAGUGGGGAAUAUUGGACAAUGGGCGCAAGCCUGAUCCAGCCAUGCCGCGUGAGUGAUGAGGGCCCUAGGGUUGUAAAGCUCUUUCGGCGGGGAAGAUAAUGACGGUACCCGCAGAAGAAGCCCCGGCUAACUUCGUGCCAGCAGCCGCGGUAAUACGAAGGGGGCUAGCGUUGUUCGGAAUUACUGGGCGUAAAGGGCGUGUAGGCGGUCCGCUAAGUCAGGUGUGAAAGGCCUGGGCUCAACCCAGGAAAUGCGCCUGAGACUGACGGACUUGAGUCCGGGAGAGGAUGGUGGAACUCCCAGUGUAGAGGUGAAAUUCGUGGAUAUUGGGAAGAACACCCGUGGCGAAGGCGGCCAUCUGGACCGGUACUGACGCUAAUGCGCGACAGCGUGGGGAGCAAACAGGAUUAGAUACCCUGGUAGUCCACGCCGUAAACGAUGAGUGCUAGACGUUGGGAAGCCUAGCUUUUCAGUG